rnacentral:rRNA from 1 species
AGCGACUGUGCAGGUUACCGCGGCUGCUGGCACGGAGUUAGCCGGUGCUUCUUCUGUGAGUGAUGUCCUUCCUGCCGGCUAUUAACCCGCAGGCCUUCUUCCUCACUGAAAGUGCUUUACAACCCGAAGGCCUUCUUCACACACGCGGCAUGGCUGGAUCAGGGUUGCCCCCAUUGUCCAAUAUUCCCCACUGCUGCCUCCCGUAGGAGUCUGGGCCGUGUCUCAGUCCCAGUGUGGCUGAUCAUCCUCUCAGACCAGCUACGGAUCGUCGCCUUGGUGAGCCGUUACCUCACCAACCAGCUAAUCCGACAUAGGCUCAUCCGAUAGCGCGAGGCCCGAAGGUCCCCCGCUUUCCCCCGUAGGGCGUAUGCGGUAUUAGCCUGGGUUUCCCCAGGUUAUCCCCCACUACCGGGCAGAUUCCUAUGCAUUACUCACCCGUCCGCCGCUCGCC